GAUGAACGCUGGCGGCGUGCCUAAUACAUGCAAGUCGAGCGAGCAGACGAGGAGCUUGCUCCUCUGACGUUAGCGGCGGACGGGUGAGUAACACGUGGAUAACCUACCUAUAAGACUGGGAUAACUUCGGGAAACCGGAGCUAAUACCGGAUAAUAUAUUGAACCGCAUGGUUCAAUAGUGAAAUACGGUUUUUCUGUCACUUAUAGAUGGAUCCGCGCCGCAUUAGCUAGUUGGUAAGGUAACGGCUUACCAAGGCAACGAUGCGUAGCCGACCUGAGAGGGUGGUCGGCCACCCUGGAACUGAGACACGGUCCCGACUCCUACGGGAGGCAGCAGUAGGGAAUCUUACGCAAUGGGCGAAAGCCUGACGGAGCAACGCCGCGUGAGUGAUGAAGGUCUUCGGAUCGUAAAACUCUGUUAUUAGGGAAGAACAAAUGUGUAAGUAACUAUGCACGUCUUGACGGUACCUAAUCAGAAAGCCACGGCUAACUACGUG
rnacentral:rRNA from 1 species